UACGUAGGGGGCAAGCGUUGUCCGGAAUCAUUGGGCGUAAAGAGCGUGUAGGCGGCCCGAUAAGUCCGCUGUGAAAGUCCAGGGCUCAACCCUGGGAUGCCGGUGGAUACUGUCGGGCUCGAGUCCGGAAGAGGAGUGUGGAAUUCCUGGUGUAGCGGUGAAAUGCGCAGAUAUCUGGAGGAACACCGGUGGCGAAGGCGGCAUCCUGGACCAAUAUUGACGCUGAGGAGCGAAAGCCAGGGGAGCAAACGGG
rnacentral:rRNA from 1 species